rnacentral:rRNA from 1 species
AUUGAACGCUGGCGGCAUGCCUUACACAUGCAAGCCGAACGGCAGCACGGGAGCUUGCUCCUGGUGGCGAGUGGCGAACGGGUGAGUAAUACAUCGGAACGUACCCAGUAGUGGGGGAUAACGCACCGAAAGGUGCGCUAAUACCGCAUACGACCUAAGGGUAAAAGCGGGGGACCGUAAGGCCUCGCGCUAUUGGAGCGGCCGAUGUCUGAUUAGCUAGUUGGCGGGGUAAAGGCCCACCAAGGCGACGAUCAGUAGCUGGUCUGAGAGGACGAUCAGCCACACUGGGACUGAGACACGGCCCAGACUCCUACGGGAGGCAGCAGUGGGGAAUUUUGGACAAUGGGGGCAACCCUGAUCCAGCAAUGCCGCGUGUGCGAAGAAGGCCUUCGGGUUGUAAAGCACUUUUGUCAGGGAAGAAAUCUUUCGGGCUAAUACCCUUGGAAGGAUGACGGUACCUGAAGAAUAAGCACCGGCUAACUACGUGCCAGCCGCCGCUGUAA